AUUGAACGCUGGCGGCAGGCCUAACACAUGCAAGUCGAGCGAGCGGCGGACGGGUGAGUAAUGUCUGGGAAACUGCCUGAUGGAGGGGGAUAACUACUGGAAACGGUAGCUAAUACCCCAUACCCUCUGAUGUGCCCCGAUGGGAUUAGCUAGUAGGUGGGGUAACGGCUCACCUAGGCGACGCUCCCUAGCUGGUCUGAGAGGAUGACCAGCCACACUGGAACUGAGACACGGUCCAGACUCCUACGGGAGGCAGCAGUGGGGAAUAUUGCACAAUGGGCGCAAGCCUGAUGCAGCCAUGCCGCGUGUGUGAAGAAGGCCUUCGGGUUGUAAAGCACUUUCAGCGGGGAGGCGUUACCCGCAGAAGAAGAACCGGCUAACUCCGUGCCAGCAGCCGCGGUAAUAC
rnacentral:rRNA from 1 species